CCUACCUACCCCACCCCCACUCAGCCGACAAACUCUCUCUCUCCCUCCCCCCUUCUUUCUUUUUCUUCUUUCUUCCUUACCCAACCCCACCGACUCCCCCACCCCCCUCUUUUCUUUCUUUUUCUUCCUUCUUUCUCUUCCAGGCGCUCCACCGACUCCCUCCCCCCCCCCCCUUUUCUUUCCCCAAUCACGGUGGAUGAGCUGGGGCAGGCGCUCCACCGCUCCCUCGACGACUUCCAGGCGCUCCAACUCCGGGCUGAGCUUCGACGACUUCCAGACGCUCCCUCGACGAAGUCCAUCUUCAGACGCCGCCGCGCUCAACCUCCAUCUUCAGACGCAGUCGCGCUCCCUCGCCACCGCCGGAUUCGUGAGAUUGGCGCACCGGAUUCGCGCACCCAUUUUUUUUUAUUUUUUUUUGAGGGAUUCGCCAUGUGGCGAAUCCCGUGCGUAUCCCACGCGAAUCGCACGCGAAUCGCACCCUUGAGCGAAUCGGAUACUGCAAUGUGGUGAUUUCCGGCGAAUCCGUGCAUUAUAG
rnacentral:lncRNA from 1 species